rnacentral:rRNA from 2 species
UUGUCUCAAAGAUUAAGCCAUGCAUGUCUCAGUACAAGCCGAAUUAAGGUGAAACCGCGAAAGGCUCAUUAAAUCAGUUAUGGUUCCUUAGAUCGUACCCACAUUUACUUGGAUAACUGUGGUAAUUCUAGAGCUAAUACAUGCAAACAGAGCUCCGACCGGAGACGGAAGGAGCGCUUUUAUUAGAUCAAAACCAAUCGGUGGCGAUUUCCGUCGUCAUCGUACAACUUGGUGACUCUGAAUAACUUUACGCUGAUCGCACGGUCUUGCACCGGCGACGCAUCUUUCAAAUGUCUGCCUUAUCAACUGUCGAUGGUAGGUUCUGCGCCUACCAUGGUUGUAACGGGUAACGGGGAAUCAGGGUUCGAUUCCGGAGAGGGAGCCUGAGAAACGGCUACCACAUCCAAGGAAGGCAGCAGGCGCGCAAAUUACCCACUCCCGGCACGGGGAGGUAGUGACGAAAAAUAACGAUACGGGACUCAUCCGAGGCCCCGUAAUCGGAAUGAGUACACUCUAAACCCUUUAACGAGGAUCAAUUGGAGGGCAAGUCUGGUGCCAGCAGCCGCGGUAAUUCCAGCUCCAAUAGCGUAUAUUAAAGUUGUUGCGGUUAAAAAGCUCGUAGUCGAAUCUGUGUCCCGCGCCGCCGGUUCAUCGUUCGCGGUGUCAACUGGCGUGCCGCGGGACGUCCUGCCGGUGGGCUUAGCUCGAGAGGGCGGCCCAACUCAAUCCCGCCGCGGUGCUCUUCAUUGAGUGUCGAGGUGGGCCGGCACGUUUACUUUGAACAAAUUAGAGUGCUUAAAGCAGGCUAAAACUUCGCCUGAAUACUGUGUGCAUGGAAUAAUGGAAUAGGACCUCGGUUCUAUUUUGUUGGUUUUCUGAACCCCGAGGUAAUGAUUAAUAGGAACGGAUGGGGGCAUUCGUAUUGCGACGUUAGAGGUGAAAUUCUUGGAUCGUCGCAAGACGGACAGAAGCGAAAGCAUUUGCCAAAAACGCUUUCAUUGAUCAAGAACGAAAGUUAGAGGUUCGAAGGCGAUCAGAUACCGCCCUAGUUCUAACCAUAAACGAUGCCAGCUAGCGAUCCGCCGACGUUCCUCCGAUGACUCGGCGGGCAGCUUCCGGGAAACCAAAGCUUUUGGGUUCCGGGGGAAGUAUGGUUGCAAAGCUGAAACUUAAAGGAAUUGACGGAAGGGCACCACCAGGAGUGGAGCCUGCGGCUUAAUU